rnacentral:rRNA from 1 species
UACGUAGGGUGCGAGCGUUGUCCGGAAUUAUUGGGCGUAAAGGGCUCGUAGGCGGUUUGUCGCGUCGGGAGUGAAAACCCAGGGCUUAACCCUGGGCUGGCUUCCGAUACGGGCAGACUAGAGGUAUGCAGGGGAGAACGGAAUUCCUGGUGUAGCGGUGAAAUGCGCAGAUAUCAGGAGGAACACCGGUGGCGAAGGCGGCUCGCUGGGCCAUUCCUGACGCUGAGACGCGAAAGCUAGGGGAGCGAACAGG